CAAAAGUUGUCAGUUAGUAACAAUCGUUCGUUGCGCCGGAAACAUCAACUUCGGCCAUUUCCGGCGGUGACGUCAUGAGUAGAACACAGCUGAGCUCAGUCCCGUUUGAAUGCAUUGAAGGGCCAAAUAUUAUGACAAAGGAUGCACAGCAAUAUAUGUUGUAUGGGGAUGUGGGGCCGUCUCAACAUCUGGUUAUGGGAUGUUUUUGUGGCCAAAAAAUUAUCAAAUGUUGCGUAUAUGGACAAAACAAGUGCGUCAUAUGAGGCGGACUUUUACUGGACCAGGUAACACGGGGUCGAUGAAAACGACGAUGUGUGGGCAGCACAUCGAGAGAUCGUGUUUCGAACAAUCAACAAUGCCCGCUAAGGAGAGAGAGUAAAAGCUUUCUCGAAGGCUUUGCAUUUGAACUCCUAUGACUGGUUACGGACUUGAAGGGAACGUCUUCCUGACAUCCAGGAAAAUGUAGAAAUCUACUGGAACCUAACACCAGAGAGAGGGAGGUGAUGAUAUGCAGCAAAAGGCCCAGCCGGAUGGUUGCUGCUCCGUCUGGAACGUGUUCUAUCCAGUAAAGCACUUUGGUACCCAGUUAUUUAUGGUAUUGAGUUUGAAUUUAGCCUUUGGAAGAAAGGAUCAUGCCAGCCCACAUCAAACACCUGAUCAAGAACUUGUGAAUCUUCAGGCAGAAAAGAUGAAAACACCUGUUCCAGUUUCCUGUACAUGGAACCAUGCCAGUCCUCUGUUCCACAUGUCUUCAGUCAGUCCUGGGGCCUGUACUACAAAGCAGGAUUUUCGCUUAGCCGGCUAACUUCAGGGAAAACUCCGGCUUUCCGGGCUUACGAAGCUGGUUCUCUUUUUAGCGGGCUAGAUCUCCA